AAGAAGUGCUGCUGCUUUGGGAGUCUGCCGUGCAGACAGAGCACCAUAUAUGGCAAAAGAAUUAUUUUUGUUUGAUGAAAGGAUGAAGAUUGUGUGAGGCUGGUGCAGUCUCACUGGGCAGAAGUACAAUGGUUUUUGCUUUUUUAAUUAAAAAUGGAAUCUCAUUGACGCUAUCAGUGGCUCAGGUCCUACGUAUUUUCUCUGUGCUUGGCUUGAAAAGCGGUCCUCUGAAAACAAAGGAGCUGAGGCAUGCAGCUCAGGGUGAGGAAAGGAAAGAGAAUUGGCUCUCAGGGGUGGUAGGAUCUGGUGAACUUGUGAUUGCUGUACCAGUACAGAAAUAGAAGAGCUUUGGUUGAAUUCUUUAAGGUUUGCAAGGCAAUGGAUUUAUAGGAUAAGGCCAAAUAACUUCAUUUGACAUGCUGGGGUUAUCAAGCUGUGAGUCUUGUUGGUGACUUUUUUCCCUUUAUUUAUUUUGAUUGUUUUCUGAGUGUUUUUGUCAUGAAAACUAGAGAGCACUCAAAACUAAAUUCCUGUCUCUAAUUUACCUGUAUGUUUAAAUACUAGAAAUUCCAUCUCCUAUAACUGGUAAACUACAAGAGGAGAAUGGGGAACUGACAGAUUGGCCGCAGCAAGACAACUGGGCACCCUUGGACCUCCUUUACCUGUCUCUUCAGACUAUUUUUGGUCACAGCUGCAUCUUGCAGCUUUUCCUUUCUCCCAAUCCCAAGUCAGUAUUGCUGCUCAUUCUUUAAAUGCUCUGUUUGCUCUGCCCUUGCUAUGACCCUGAAUAUGAAAAGCUGGUCUUCACUGAUUCUUAUCUCCUGAGAUGUUGGCUCCUGCAAGAAUGCCAGUGGCAGCUGGGAAAAAUAUGGCAAACACCGAAAAAAAUCCUUCUCCACUUCUGAAAUCUGGUCCAAAGUUUUCUGCAAAUAUUGAUGCUGCAAAUAUAAUGAGAAUGAAAUAUAACAACAGGAUUUGAUUCCAAAGUUACUUAAUGAAGGAGCAACAGAGAUGCCAAGAAGACACACCACAGUGAUGGUCCCUAUGAUUCUGAUGUCGUUGGACUCGUCUACCAUCAGUGUAUCACUCUCCUGAAAGUGGUUAGAAAUGUUAUGAGAACCAGUCUCUCUGCCCAGCUGGUGGGACCAAGUGACAAGGUGAAGUAGAAAGCAGUGAGCUGUCAGAGUUUCAGAGCUUUGUGAGACCAAGUUGGUAUGUCAUGUUCCAACUGACUUUUUGCAGUUGGGGUUAUUUGGCUAAUGGGAUGUCUGUUCCUAUUCUGAUUUUGAGAUUCUUGUCAAGUAAUGUAUGAAAUAUAUUCAAAAGGUAGAAAUAAUGAAGCAGCACUCUGUGGCACAUUUAGGCAGACCAGCUUCUUCCCUGCUAAAGAUCCCCCUCAAGCCUUAACUAAAACAUAUCACCACUUACACAAAUACAUUAUGUAAAACAAACACCACCAUCACCACCCUCCCAAAAAAAAAAAAAAAAAAAGCCACACAAAACAAAACUAAGCCAAUUUAAUCAUAUACAUGAAACAUCUGUAUUUACCUUAAGAAGUUCCACAACAGUUUCAGCAAA